rfam:Schistosoma haematobium scaffold14_35, whole genome shotgun sequence.
GCACUAAUGAGAAGUCCCACAAUAGGACGAAACGGCCGUCCAGUGC